rnacentral:rRNA from 1 species
UACAGAGGGUGCAAGCGUUGUCCGGAAUCACUGGGCGUAAAGGGCGCGUAGGCGGCCUGAUAAGUCGGGGGUGAAAUUCUGCGGCUUAACCGCAGGACGGCCUUCGAGACUGUCGGGCUUGAGCACGGUAGAGGCUGGUGGAAUUCCCUGUGUAGCGGUGAAAUGCGUAGAGAUGGGGGAGAACACUCGUGGCGAAGGCGGCCAGCUAGACCAGUUCUGACACUGAGGCGCGACAGCGUGGGGAGCAAACAGG